rnacentral:rRNA from 1 species
GCUUGUCUCAAAGAUUAAGCCAUGCAUGUCUAAGUAUAAGCACUUAUACCGUGAAACUGCGAAUGGCUCAUUAUAUCAGUUAUAGUUUAUUUGAUAGUACUUACUACUUGGAUAACCGUAGUAAUUCUAGAGCUAAUACAUGCAUCAAGCCCUGACAGCAAUGAAAGGGUGGAUUUAUUAGAUUGAAACCAAUGCAGUCUUCGGGCUGGUAUUGUGUUGAGUCAUAAUAACUGUGCGGAUCGCGUUUUACGCGAUAAAUCGAUUGAGUUUCUGCCCUAUCAGCUUUGGAUGGUAGGAUAUGGGCCUACCAUGGCAUUAACGGGUAACGGGGAAUUAGGGUUUGAUUCCGGAGAGGGAGCCUUAGAAACGGCUACCACAUCCAAGGAAGGCAGCAGG